rnacentral:rRNA from 1 species
AGGAAGUCGACGGAACCCUUCGGGGGGAAGUCGACGGAAUGAGCGGCGGACGGGUGAGUAACACGUAAAGAACCUGCCCUCAGGUCUGGGAUAACCACGAGAAAUCGGGGCUAAUACCGGAUGGGUCAUCGGACCGCAUGGUCCGAGGAUGAAAGGCGCUCCGGCGUCGCCUGGGGAUGGCUUUGCGGUGCAUUAGCUAGUUGGUGGGGUAAUGGCCCACCAAGGCGACGAUGCAUAGCCGACCUGAGAGGGUGAUCGGCCACACUGGGACUGAGACACGGCCCAGACUCCUACGGGAGGCAGCAGUAGGGAAUCUUCCACAAUGGACGAAAGUCUGAUGGAGCAACGCCGCGUGAACGAUGAAGGCCUUCGGGUCGUAAAGUUCUGUUGUAAGGGAAGAACAAGUGCCGCAGGCAAUGGCGGCACCUUGACGGUACCUUGCGAGAAAGCCACGGCUAACUACGUGCCAGCAGCCGCGGUAAUACGUAGGUGGCAAGCGUUGUCCGGAAUUAUUGGGCGUAAAGCGCGCGCAGGCGGCCUCUUAAGUCUGAUGUGAAAGCCCCCGGCUCAACCGGGGAGGGCCAUUGGAAACUGGGAGGCUUGAGUAUAGGAGAGAAGAGUGGAAUUCCACGUGUAGCGG